UUGCCAUUACACUGAAACUGAUCUUUGGAGAGUCGACGCGCAGCUACAGGGCCGCUUCAACCUCUCUGUGACCCCGUAUGAUCUAAGUUUACAAAGCUGUGGCGAAACGUGAACCCCAGACUCACUCUGCAGAAUUAACUUCAAUUGUGGGAUCUCGCAUAGAGAAGCUUAAUAGAGCACACACGUGUCUGAUUUGCACCGCACGUCGCGCAGAGGACGCUUCAGAUUAACACGCGGCUGAACAGAGAGGCUUAAUCUGUCCAAACCCUCCUGCAACAACAGAUGAGCAGUUUGUGUCCACAGCACUCACCAACAGCAUCAAGUCACUCAGUUGGAGCGAGUUGCGACAGAAUGGUGUUUUCCUAAGUCAAAUGCUGGAUCUUCAGCUCAGAGGGUAGGUGCCUCAGGUCUGCUGAUGAUCCAUGUCUUUUAGAUUAGCCGGGAGGCGAGAAGCUGGACUACUAAUAUGGCAGCUUCACCACAGCUCUUCAGAAACCUAUGAUGCCAUGUAUACAGUGUCCAUUGUUUAUACUGUCAGUGGUCAACUUCCAUAAGCUUCCAUAUUAAA